AUACAAAUUAAUAAGUGAGAGGAGUUCAGACCUGUGACUGUUUGGUGCGGAUUUUGGGCCGGAGGCGUGAUUGGUCCGUAUAUUUUCGAAAACGAUAAUGGUGUGGCCGUCACCGUCAAUGGACGGCGCUACGUGCCACACAGCACACGCUACGAUGGAAGUUCUGCACGAGCAAUUUCUGGACAUGGUCAUCUCGCGUGGAGGCGACGUGAACUGGUCACCGAGAUCGUGCGAUUUGACCCCGCUGGACUUUUUCUUGUGGGGUUUUCUUAAGUCGCAGGUCUAUG